rnacentral:rRNA from 1 species
GGGGGCCGGUUGGGGAAACUUGUGUCUGACCGGAACAGCAGAGAGAUGAGCGGCAAAAGCUCAAAUUUGAAAUCUGGCACCUUCGGUGUCCGAGUUGUAAUUUGAAGAAGGUAACUUUGGAGUUGGCUCUUGUCUAUGUUCCUUGGAACAGGACGUCACAGAGGGUGAGAAUCCCGUGCGAUGAGAUGCCCAAUUCUAUGUAAAGUGCUUUCGAAGAGUCGAGUUGUUUGGGAAUGCAGCUCUAAGUGGGUGGUAAAUUCCAUCUAAAGCUAAAUAUUGGCGAGAGACCGAUAGCGAACAAGUACAGUGAUGGAAAGAUGAAAAGAACUUUGAAAAGAGAGUGAAAAAGUACGUGAAAUUGUUGAAAGGGAAGGGCUUGAGAUCAGACUUGGUAUUUUGCGAUCCUUUCCUUCUUGGUUGGGUUCCUCGCAGCUUACUGGGCCAGCAUCGGUUUGGAUGGUAGGAUAAUGACUAAGGAAUGUGGCUCUACUUCGGUGGAGUGUUAUAGCCUUGGUUGAUACUGCCUGUCUAGACCGAGGACUGCGUCUUUUGACUAGGAUGUUGGCAUAAUGAUCUUAACCCACCCCUCUUGAAACACGGACCAA